rnacentral:lncRNA from 1 species
UUUACAACUAGAUGAGGAAGGAAAGAACAGCACGCAUGAAACAGUUUGAAAAUGAUAGUUGGAAUGAGGACAACGCUAGACCCCUGGGCAGCGCUUGACCAUCUCUCUCUCUCUCUUCCGAAAAUCAUUAGUUUGGAGGAACAGAUCUUGUUGCUUUUUGGAGAACCUGGAACUUAGGAAGUCCAGGGAAUUUUGGUGUGCUGUAGGGGAAUAGCUACUAAAUUCUAAAGACAGAAUGAUACUUGAGUUUUUUGUUUUGAUACCUAUAAGCAAUAAAAUGUAGCAUGUUGAAGUUCCUGACCCUUACCCUGUGGGUUCCAUGUAUAUAAUUCCAGUCACAACUGUGUAUUUUUGGUUAAAACAUCAACAAUGACAACUUCCUCAUUUCAUUGUCUUUCUUUCCCAUCCAGUUCACAUGAUGUAUUGCUGCUACGUUAAUAUUUGUGGCUGAAGCACCCCACAGUGACUGCCCAGUGACUCAUGCCCUGCAUAAUCCUCUCUCUGCGUGCAGAUGAGACCUUUGACUUGCUUCUAAACGAAUAGAAUACGGCAAAGGCGAUGGACUGUGCCUCCCCGAUACAGACAGGUUAUGACAGGUUACUGUCUGCAUCAUCUGUACCUACAGGUCAUCAUUAUGAUUUAGUUUUUCUCAUUAUGGUCGAAGCAGAGCUGGUCUCUACAAAUCAACAGAAACAGCAUCUCAGAAACAACACCUGAGACCUAAAGGAUGCUGAAUGGCCCAGUGAAGGAAACGGGUUUUGGUGACCAUGGAGUGUCCCACAGCUGACUGCUCUCCUUUGCCUAAACUCUGCACGGAUCCAAACACUUGCUACCAGCCAGGCCCCUUGUCCCUGUCCAUCUCCUAAAUGAGCCCAGAUGAUAUGGUAAGUUUCUCCUAGUCUGGAAACUUCUGUCUUAGAUGAUUGAUCCUGAUUUUUAUUAUGUGGUGUAUAGACUCCACACUAGUAGAGUUUCCCUGGACUUAAGGUAAUUCAGGAAGGAAGUACCUUGAAUUCUAAGUUGGAAGAUGCUGGGAAGACUGCUCAGUUGAAAGACACUGGCGAGGUUUGGACUGGGUGAUUAGGUAGGAGACGGUCCUGUUCUUUUCCUUGAAUGGGUUGCUUUCAUAGAGUUUGUUGGAAUAAAAGUUAACAUGCCAUAGGUGAGCUUUCA